CCAAAAUCUGAAUCGGAACGACACAUUGUUGAGACGCGAGGUAAACAUCCUUCCCAUUGGUCCGUCCUUCCCAUUGGUCCGUCCUUUGCCACCACCAAUUCUGACGUGUAGCGUUCCGCCAGUGGUUCCGGAUGUGGUUCCACAAGUCAUGUGUUGUUAGAGCCAGCUGUCGUGUUCUUGAAGUGGAGCAAACACCGCUGUUCAAGAGGUGACAUUCUGCCUUAUCAAGCGCUCAUGCGUUGCUAGUUAACUAUGUUUUUGUGGCAUUUACAGUGCUUAAAAUGCUGACACACUUGCCUCACAGCUAGCUAAAAUGGCUAGAUACUUCACAGAAGCUGUCAGUGCUAGCCAAAUGCAUUACGAGAGGUGACGUUAGCUAAAAGCGGAACUUCGGUCUACCGGUUCUUCACUGAAACUGGCACUCCGGUGUGACUCGUGGACCCAGUCCGAGUGGUUGCUGGCAGCCCCGUAUGUGCAGCGCAAGGAGAAAGAGAAUCGGACAGUUAAUGUUUGCCAAAUCAUCCAUGGCGUUGAAGGAGCGCUUCAUCAAGGCGUAUGGCACAGGGCUUUAAUCUACAGAGGGCAGAGUUUCACCUCUCACCUGAGCCAAUCACAGAGGACAAGGUAUGUCGUCGGACCACAAUGCACCUGGAGGAAAAUGAGGUGUGGACCUUCGAGGUGAGCAGGGUCCAGUGGUUAUGCAGGGAAGGAGAUGAGAGCAGGAAGAGUAAAGAAAGUUCAAGAGUAUCCAACCAUCUCCUGCUCUUUUCUGUGAAUCCAACCAUCUCCUGCUCUUUUCUGUGAAUCCAUCCAUCUCCUGCUCUUUUCUGUGAAUCCAACCAUCUCCUGCUCUUUUAUGUGAAU
ensembl:lncRNA